AGAGUUUGAUCCUGGCUCAGAGCGAACGCAGGCGGCGCGCCUAACACAUGCAAGUCGAACGUGAAAGUCCUUCGGGAUGAGUAAAGUGGCGUACGGGUGAGUAACACGUGGAUAAUCUACCCUAGAGUCUGGAAUAACCUGCCGAAAGGCGGGCUAAUACUGGAUAGAGCGACGGGGUGCAUAAUGUACCUUUCGGGAAAGGGAGCCGGCAACGGCCUUCGCUUUAGGAUGAGUCCGCGUCCCAUUAGCUAGUUGGUGAGGUAAAGGCUCACCAAGGCGACGAUGGGUAGCUGGUCUAAGAGGAUGAUCAGUCACACUGGAACUGAAACACGGUCCAGACUCCUACGGGAGGCAGCAGUGGGGAAUCUUGCGCAAUGGACGAAAGUCUGACGCAGCGACGCCGCGUGAGUGAAGAAGGCCUGCGGGUCGUAAAGCUCUGUCAAGAGGGACGAAAAUACAGUGGGUUCAUAGCCCACUGGACUGACGGUACCUCUGAAGGAAGCACCGGCUAACUCCGUGCCAGCAGCCGCGGUAAUACGGAGGGUGCAAGCGUUGCUCGGAAUUAUUGGGCGUAAAGGGGAGGUAGGUGGUCUCGUGUGUCUGGGGUGAAAGCCCGGAGCUUAACUCCGGAAGUGCCUCAGAAACUACGGGACUUGAGUCCUGGAGAGGGUAGCGGAAUUCCCAGUGUAGCGGUGAAAUGCGUAGAUAUUGGGAGGAACACCAGAGGCGAAGGCGGCUACCUGGACAGGAACUGACACUCAACUCCGAAAGCGUGGGGAGCAAACAGGAUUAGAUACCCUGGUAGUCCACGCCGUAAACGAUGGGCACUAGAUUUAGCGGGACUUGACCCCUGCUGAGUCGGAGCUAACGCAAUAAGUGCCCCGCCUGGGAAGUACGGUCGCAAGACUAAAACUCAAAGGAAUUGACGGGGGCCCGCACAAGCGGUGGAUCAUGUGGUUUAAUUCGAAGCAACGCGAAGAACCUUACCUAGGUUUGACAUCCCUCGACAGCUCUAGAAAUAGAGUCUUAGUAGCAAUACUACGAGGUGACAGGUGCUGCAUGGCUGUCGUCAGCUCGUGUGGUGACAUGUUGGGUUAAGUCCCGCAACGAGCGCAACCCCUGUCCUUAGUUGCCAGCAUUAAGUUGGGCACUCUAGGGAGACUGCCGUGGUUAACACGGAGGAAGGUGGGGAUGACGUCAAGUCCUCAUGGCCCUUACGCCUAGGGCGACACACGUGAUACAAUGGCAGGUACAAAGGGCAGCGAAGCCGCGAGGUGGAGCUAAUCUCAAAAAGCCUGUCUCAGUUCGGAUUGAAGUCUGCAAUUCGACUUCAUGAAGGUGGAAUCGCUAGUAAUCGCGGAUCAGCACGCCGCGGUGAAUACGUUCCCGGGCCUUGUACACACCGCCCGUCACACCAUGGAAGCUGAUUCAACCAGAAGACGGUUAGGCUAACCUUCGGGAGGCCGCCGGCCAAGGUGGGAUUGGUGACUGGGGUGAAGUCGUAACAAGGUAA
rnacentral:rRNA from 1 species